rnacentral:rRNA from 1 species
CUUAAUACAUGCAAGUUGAACGGCAGCGGGUCCAGCAAUGGAUGCCGGCGAGUAGCGCACGGGUGCGUAACACGUAUGUAACCUACCUAUAACCGGGACAUAACCUCGAGAAAUCGUGGCUAACAUCCCAUAACAUCCCUUGAUCGCAUGUUUAAGGGAUUAAAAUUCCGAUGGUUUUAGAUGGGCAUGCGCGACAUUAGCUAGUUGGUGAGGUAACGGCUCACCAAGGCAACGAUGUCUAGGGGGUCUGAGAGGAUGAUCCCCCACACUGGUACUGAGACACGGACCAGGCUCCUACGGGAGGCAGCAGUAAGGAAUAUUGGGCAAUGGGCGCAAGCCUGACCCAGCCAUGCCGCGUGCAGGAUGACAGCCCUACGGGUUGUAAACUGCUUUUAUACGGGAAAAACCCCCUCGACGUGUCGAGGGCUGAUGGUACCGUAAGAAUAAGCAUCGGCUAACUCCGUGCCAGCAGCCGCGGUAAUACGGAGGAUGCAAGCGUUAUCCGGAUUUACUGGGUUUAAAGGGUGCGCAGGCGGAACGAUCAGUCAGUGGUGAAAUCUCCCGGCUUAACCGGGAAACUGCCAUUGAUACUAUCGUUCUUGAGUCCAGUUGAAGUAGGCGGAAUGUAGCAUGUAGCGGUGAAAUGCUUAGAUAUGCUACAUAACACCGAUAUCGAAGGCAGCUUACUAAACUGAUACUGACGCUCAAGCACUAAAGCGUGGGGAUCAAACAGGAUUAAAUACCCUGGGUAGUCCACGGCUCUAAACGGAUGAACCACUCGUUCGUUGGCAAUACAUCGGU